rnacentral:rRNA from 1 species
GGAGAAAAGCAGGGGAUCGCAAGACCUUGCGCUCAUUGAGCGGCCGAUGCCUGAUUAGCUAGUUGGUGAGGUAAAGGCUUACCAAGGCGACGAUCAGUAGCUGGUCUGAGAGGACGACCAGCCACACUGGGACUGAGACACGGCCCAGACUCCUACGGGAGGCAGCAGUGGGGAAUUUUGGACAAUGGGGGAAACCCUGAUCCAGCCAUGCCGCGUGAGUGAAGAAGGCCUUCGGGUUGUAAAGCUCUUUCAGCCGGAACGAAACGGUCACGGCUAAUACCUGUGACUACUGACGGUACCGGAAGAAGAAGCACCGGCUAACUACGUGCCAGCAGCCGCGGUAAUACGUAGGGUGCGAGCGUUAAUCGGAAUUACUGGGCGUAAAGCGUGCGCAGGCGGCUUUGUAAGU